GGCUGAUUAACAUUUUUCUGAACAGGUGAUUUUAAAAUGAUUAUAGACACCUUUUAAGAAUAUUGAAUUUAAGUUAAAGGAAUUUCUAACGGAUCACAGAGUUUUAAAAAAUCCUGAAUAUAACUUAUCACAAUGUGUUAAGGAUAAUUAUGUGCUGGAGAAAGACUUUCAACAUUAAUGCCAUUUUGACUACAACAAGAAGUUAUGACUAGAGUUUUUAUUGGCCUUUGAAAAAGCAAACCGGUAAAAUACCCCAACCAUAGUUAUCACGUUUAUCAAUAAAUGAAGAAAAACUGAUACUCCUUAGUUCAUUGAAGUUUUUGUACAGAAAUAGCAUCUGUGAUGUCACUAUUAUAGAAAAAUAGCCAUUUUACAUAUGGUUUUUGGUAUACUGAAUAUGUGCAUCAAACAAGGCUCCACAAAAAAUCACUAAGACUACAACCCAGGCAAGUAAAUAUUUUGUCAAACCAUUCUCACAAACCAUAUUAAUUUUAAGACUUGUAGGUUAAUAUAGUUUCGAAAAACUGUCAGGUUUCUACAAAAAAAUAUUUUACUUAAAUCAUCAUCAUUGACAUUGUACAAGACAUCUUGUGGUAAAAAUAUCUUUUUGGAUAAUGCAGUUCCUCAUAUCCAUAAAUUAAUUACAACUCAAAUAGAAGGUCUUUAGGCAAGAUUUCAAAUGUAAAAUAAGAAUA
rnacentral:lncRNA from 1 species